rnacentral:rRNA from 1 species
GCGCUAACAGAUGAGCCCAAGUCGGAUUAGCUAGUUGGUAGGGUAACGGCCUACCAAGGCGACGAUCCGUAACUGGUCUGAGAGGACGACCAGUCACACCGGAACUGAGACACGGUCCGG